rnacentral:rRNA from 1 species
UACGUAGGGCGCAAGCGUUAUCCGGAAUUAUUGGGCGUAAAGAGCUCGUAGGCGGUUUGUCGCGUCUGCCGUGAAAGUCCGAGGCUCAACCUCGGAUCUGCGGUGGGUACGGGCAGACUAGAGUGAUGUAGGGGAGACUGGAAUUCCUGGUGUAGCGGUGAAAUGCGCAGAUAUCAGGAGGAACACCGAUGGCGAAGGCAGGUCUCUGGGCAUUAACUGACGCUGAGGAGCGAAAGGCAUGGGGAGCGAACAGG